AGUAGCCUGGGCGUGGUGGCGCAGAGGGUUAAGAACGCGGCAACCAUCGAAUGAGUGUAUGGGUGCCGGGUUCGAAACUCAUUACGUUAUCACGCCCGGGGAUCCCUGCACCCGGUUUGACGUGGUGUGGGGUCGUUUGGGGGGGCUCCCCUCCCCCCUUUCGGCUCUCCUCCGCGCCUCCCCGAAGUGUCUGCACGGGGAUCAUUUACUCCCCGCUAUUAACAGCUGGGGUCACGUAUUUCCAAAAAGUACUACGCCUUCUGCAUGCAACAAAUUGUUUGUUUGUGGCAAGUUUAGUUCGAAGCCUGUUAUGAUGAUGUGCCUGUUACUUCUCAUAUGAGAAGUUAGGUCUCGCGCGAGUCGGCGCCAAGAGCGUCGGCGUCGUCACGUGCAGGUGCUUCCAAUCAGGAAAACGUCGGUGGAGCGUGGUGGAGCGUUGCGCUGUUUUGUCGGUGAAAUGUGUGGUGCAGCGUUGCGUUGUUUUGUCGGUGAAAUGUGUGGUUUGUCGGUGUUGGACGCCUGUAACGAAGAGUAUCAACGGAUGUGGUGACCUCACGCAGGCGUUGCUGAUCGAACUGAUGUCCGAGGAGCCUCCCGAGCGGAAACAGCGGCACCAGAUCGCCUGCAUUGCCAGUCCGCCCAUUUUAUUCUUGUAAUUUUAUUCUUGUAUGAAGCUGUCCUUCCUCAUGUCUCUUCUUCCUCCAUCAGUAUCCGUCAGGCAUUUGAUCCCCCGGCGUCAGGUUCCUGCUGCAGGAGUUGAACUACCAGCUAAUGGGAUGUCACAGAGAAGAAAGGAGCGCCAACGAGAAAGCAUUUUCUCGGAUGGAAGGAACCCCGGAUGUGCUGAAGAGACAGCCGCUUUCGCUGCGGAACGACAAGGUGUUUCUUAGAGCAAGCGGUUAACAUUACCAAGAGGUCCAGGACUGGUAAGCUCGUGUGCGGUGUUGGUAUUUUUGCUUUUUUUUCCCAACUCCUCUCUGUGUUCAGCUUUGUCAGUAAGCAGAGGGAGAGGACCCUGUUGAGCGACAAGUGUCCCGGUUCAGCGAGAGCAGCAGAGAGGGUUCGAUCACCUCGAUCCGGAUGGAACAGGAUGGAACAGGAUGUCCACGGCGAGCACUGGGUACUCCGAGGUGGCUUUCAAACUCUUGGUUGUCGUGGAACGCUCUGUGCCAGACAUCAUCAGCACGUACGAGGCGACGGCCGGCGAGAACAUCCCCGCGAGCAUGCUCCGCUUCUUGUACCCUGACAUCCUUAAAGACGAGGCCGUUGGGAAGUACUAGCCCAAACCCUGUUAAAAAAAGUGUAAAUGGCUUGCAGCUCCAGAGUGAAUGGAUGCGGACAACGCAGGGCGUACGGGCUACAUGAAGACGGAGCUCAUUUGUGUCUGCAAAGAUGAGUGCAGAAUUUGAGGAGCAACAGCGAGGACGGCAGAACUUCAUCAAUGUUUUAGACAGCACUUUGUUAUAGUGUUUUUAAAGUAGUUAAAGACUUUGA